GUGCCAGCCGCCGCGGUAAUACGAGAGGUCCAAACGUUAUUCGGAAUCACUGGGCUUACAGAGUUCGUAGGCGGUCCAGAAAGUGGGGUGUGAAAGCCCUCGGCUUAACCGAGGAACUGCGCUCCAAACUACUGGGCUAGAGGAAGAUAGAGGUGAGCAGAACUGAUGGUGGAGCGGUGAAAUGCGUUGAUAUCAUCAGGAAUACCGGAGGCGAAGGCGGCUCACUGGGUCUUUUCUGACGCUGAGGAACGAAAGCCAGGGGAGCAAACGGGAUUAGAUACCCCCGUAGUCC
rnacentral:rRNA from 1 species